UGGGGCAUAUUGGACAAUGGGCGAAAGCCUGAUCCAGCCAUGCCGCGUGUGUGAAGAAGGUCUUCGGAUUGUAAAGCACUUUAAGUUGGGAGGAAGGGCAGUAAGCGAAUACCUUGCUGUUUUGACGUUACCGACAGAAUAAGCACCGGCUAACUCUGUGCCAGCAGCCGCGGUAAUACAGAGGGUGCAAGCGUUAAUCGGAAUUACUGGGCGUAAAGCGCGCGUAGGUGGUUCGUUAAGUUGAAUGUGAAAGCCCCGGGCUCAACCUGGGAACUGCAUCCAAAACUGGCGAGCUAGAGUAGGGCAGAGGGUGGUGGAAUUUCCUGUGUAGCGGUGAAAGGCGUAGAUAUAGGAAGGAACACCAGUGGCGAAGGCGACCACCUGGGCUCAUACUGACACUGAGGUGCGAAAGCGUGGGGAGCAAACAGG
rnacentral:rRNA from 1 species